CCUUUUCUUGUUCUGCAAUUAUAAUCCAAAAUGCAGGUUUGUUUAAACACAGGGCUCUGGAUUGUGUCAUACCGUGUUUGCUCUAUAAUUUGAAAUUAGUUGUAAAAUGCCACAACCUUUGCAUGCUAAUUACAGGCUCCUUUGGGACUUUACACUCAAAUGGGAAUAAAAUCAAUCAGACUUUGGAUGUCGGACAGCUUUGUUGACCUGAUAAACAUAAUGAUCCCCAAAUGCAACAGAAAACACCAAGCUGUUUGGACUCUCAUUCUGACGGCACCAAUUCACUCCAGAGGUUUCCAUGAACAAGUGAUGUAAUGCUAAAUGUCUCCAAAUCUGUUUAGAUGAAGAAACAAACGUAUCUACAUAUUAAACUGCCUAAAGCAAUAUCGGAGUGAAAACUGUUUCAAAAUACAUCCUACACCAAUCGAAGAAGCAAGCUAGAGAAGAACUGCACAAAAGAAAAGAAGUCUUGUAUGUGUGUUUGUGUGUGUGUGUGUGUGUGUGUGUGUGUGUGUGUGUGUGUGUGUGUGUGUGUGUGUGUGUAAGUGUAUUGGUUUUAUACCCUAUGUAUCACUGGUAAUGCUUGCAGGCCUUAUUUUUUAAACAUUUACUGCUAUAACACAUAAUCUGAUCUUGCACAUCAAAAUGCAUGCGCAUGAAGACAAUACUACCUGGAUUAAGAUGAAAGCUGUCUCACUAAGUACUGCUAUAUUUGUGAUGGGCUUGUCUCCAUGGUGACAGCCAGUGGGUGCAAGAGUCAAACUGACUUUUUACUGCCUGCACCUCAUUUUUUCCAUGUCUGACAUCAAGUAAACAACCCUAAUGAUUUACCAAAGCGAGUGCACCUUCACAACAACACCACAGGCAUUACAAUUAAACAAGUUUGAAUUGAUCCAUACUGAAGCAAAUUCUUAAUAUUCAGAUUUGUUUUUGAAACAGUACUGUAUCAACUGUAACAUUCCAGAAGAGUGAAAUAUGAGCUGUUAAUGAUACUAACUGGGGUUCAGAUGAAAGCAUGUUGACAAGACGCAAGGGAUAUGAAAUCACUCCUGGCCUUUCAGUGGUAAGAUGGCAUGCUCAAGGCUAGUCGCCCCAAUACCUUUAUAGCAGCAUUACAGAGACAGAGGACUAGCAUUAUUUGAGCGGCUCUGUGCAAUUAAAAGAACCAGCCUUUCACUCAAGGGUUGCUAAAUUGCUAGAUUACUAGAGCCGAGUUAUGUGAUUUAUGCUCUGGCUGGAGUCUGUGUUUGACAGAACUUAAGAUGCGAUGACAUGGCCUGUAGGUAAUACUUGUUAUGUCCUAGGAAUGCAAGUUGUAACCUCUCUUCAUAGUUCAGACUGCCCUGAAGAUAUAUGCAUUAAAACAAUUGCACCUAAACACAUUACAUGUCUAAGCGUAUUCAAAUUUCUUCAUCUUUCUCAUUUAAGUAUCAGUUUAUACUGAGAAUGAUAGUUUUACUGCACAUAUUUGUUUUCUUUGAAAUAAAACACAUAACAUUAUUUUCAGCUGUGAUAGUCCAAGAGAUUCAUAGAAAAACACAUUCUGACAUGCUCAACCAUAAAAGAUGUUUUGAAUACACUAUUAAAACACAUGUCUGAAAAACUUGUCAUGCAUCAACUGUUUGUGCUAUAAUUGGAGUUGUUUUGCUCAAAGGUCCACCAAUGCCGAUUACGCAAGCAGUACGGGAAGGCUAGAGAGAAUUCUUAACACAUGAAAAAAGAAGUGAAAAUACAGUUACUGCUACUUUGGUUUCACAUAAAUGUGGAACUUGGUAGCUUUUGCUGUCAACACUCAGGACAG